ACGAGGUAAGGGUGGAAAGGCGAGGUAAGAGCUCACCCGAUGGCUGGAAACUGCCCAUCGCUGUAAACUCUAUCCGGAGCAACACCGUGGAGGGACACAAAGGCCGGCCCGGCCGUCCCGAGGAGGUGGCUGGAGCGCGCCGGCGACGGCGCGUCUAGAUAGAUGACUGUCUUCAAUGACAGAACCCGGCUUACAGGUUUGCUUGCAAA
rnacentral:RNase_P_RNA from 1 species